GCUCCGGGCGCCCCGCGGAGGGGACGGCCGUUGGGGCCGUUGGCGGGAGGGGUCACCUGAUCGCCCGCGCGUCCCCGCCGCGGCCUCGCUCUCUCCCGGCGYAGGUCCCGCGCAGCGCGGUUGAAAGCGUCACGUGGCUGCGCCCGCCGCCAGUCAUAGAGGCAGGCGCGGGAGGGUAGAGCGGCCUCGUGCUGACGAGCUCCCGCGCCGCCAUCUUGGUUGUGGGCAGGAGCUGUAAGGCGGCGCCUCGACCGUUGCUCUGGCGCCGCGCGCGUGAGGUGGCUGCGCCCGAUCCGGCCUCGUCCCGUCACCGCCGCUCCCGGGCCCUCGCCGCAGGGGGGACGGUUGUGGUGCCCCCACGGGAGAGGAACCCGGGGCCGCGGAGGGGCGCUGCCGCUCCCCGCCAGGCGUGCGGUGCGCCUCGGGCGUCUGCCGCCGCCGCCGGAGAAGGCGGAGAGGAACGGGAAGGUGGCAAAAGUUGCUGGCGGUGAGGACAGCCAGGCGGUCAGGGGCACAGAGGUGCUCUGGUGCGCCCUGAGAACUGGGAGUGAAUCAGUGAAACGCCACCGUAAAGACGAAGUGAAGUCUUGCUCCCUAGCAACCCAAGUGGCAUGUUUACUGAGUGAAAACAGGGCAUUUUGGAGCAAGGCUAUCCAGGAACUGCAGAGUUGCUGUUUCUCAGGACAGCGAGUGAGAAUGGAGUCCUGGAGCCCUCUGGUGGAUGUAUGUAGAAAGAAGACAGCUGAAAAUGGUGGAAUGCAACAGCUAUUUACCAGUGCCCACCAAUACAGAAACAACACAGAAACGUAACAGCAGGCAAUGAAAAAUACUGAAGGCAGUGAAUCAUUCGGAGCAACUUAAGUAGCUGGCUAAUACUGUUUGUGCUAGAGUGUGAAGAAUCCAAUGCUCUAACAUCAUGAUCCCUGUGUGGUGUGCAAGGUCUGUAAAGCCCACAGAUGGCCAAGUUUGCUAUUGCAGAUCAGAGCCCACAAGUUUUGUCAUGGUUAUGUGGAACUGAGACUUCUGCAGAGUGGAGACUGGUUUUGCGCUUAAGUCACUCAAAAAGGACUCAGAAGGACUGUUCUGUGAC
rnacentral:lncRNA from 1 species